UCUGAGCUGGGUUUGGGGAGGCUUUUCUUUUUCCCUUCGGGAUUCUACUGCCAGGUGUUCCCCAGGGGUCCUGGGAAGCCCAGGGUGUGGAAUUCCUUGGUGGGUGGGUAGGUCGAGCUGCUUCGGCUGAGCUAGAUGAAGGUCUCUUGAUGUAUCUACCUGGUGUCCCCACCCACACAAGGGAGAGCAGAGGCCACAAAGGUUAAAGCCGCACCUCCUACGCAGGCCACGGGCAUUUACGGAUGCCCUUUACCGACAGUCCAGGUUCUGGGCUUGGGGGCUGCCGCGGUGCGCAGGACAGUCACGCUCCCGCCCUCGUGAAGGGGAGCGCCCGAGGGAGACAUAGGUACUGAUGAGAUCGUGACACAAGCAGAGACCAACCAUCCUCAACCACGUGAAGGAAGCGCAGGCGAGGGCAGACAGCAGGGCCAGGGGUCUUCACAGAAGUGAUCAAGCUAACGUGAGGUCAUGAGGGUGGUCGCUCAUCCAAUGCGGCUGAUGGCCUUAUGAAAAGGGGACAUUUGGACACGUGGACAGAUAUGACACAGGGAGGAUGCCAUGUGAAGAGAACGGCAGAGAUCAGAGGGAUGCGUCUGUAGGCCAAGGAAUCAAAGUUCGCCAGCAAAUCACCCAAAACUGGGGCAGAGGCCUGGAACAGAAGGAACCAACCCUGCCGACACCUUAAUCUCAGACUUCCAGCUUCCAGAACUUGAGACCAUAAAUUUCUGUGGUUUAAGUCUCCCAGUCUGUGGUCCUUUAUAACAUCAGCCCUAGCAAAGUAAUACUGUGUUGCAGGCAGAGGAAAUUCCAAGUGCAAAAGCCCUAAGGUAAGGGGGGGAGAGGCAGAUUUGAGAAAGAAGUGUACCCCUGGCUGGAAUGCAGAGUCAAACUUUCCUUUAUCUCUAAUGAGAGGGAAGUGGAUCAGUGUGGGUGCCUCCGGCGACGAUAGGAACAGCAAUAAAAAUAACAACCACCUUGAAGAUGUAUAGAGUGUAGGAGAUAAGCCUGGGAAGGCAGGAAGUGACUGAGCUAUGCAGAGGUGUCCUUGUAAGAAUGACAACUGGAGGCUUUAACCCUGAGAGAGGGAGAAAGCCAUCAGAAAUCACAAGGCAGGUGACCUGGCACCUAGUUGGAGCUGUGUGAGCUUGGGCAAAUUGCUUUCUGUCUCUGUGCCUUAGUUCUGUGAUCUCUUACCUGGAACACUCCAUGACCAUGUGACAAGCACUGUACUUAAGGCUGCCAUCCUGUGUGUGACAGGCAGGGUGACGGGGAAGAGAGAAGAAUGAAAAGAGUAUCCGGUAUCAUUUUUGUUCUUAUGGAGCUUAUUACCUACUUGGGGAAAUUACAUGCAUUU